rnacentral:rRNA from 1 species
AGCGAACGCUGGCGGCAGGCCUAACACAUGCAAGUCGAACGGAUCCUUCGGGAUUAGUGGCGGACGGGUGAGUAACACGUGGGAACGUGCCCUUUGGUUCGGAACAACUCAGGGAAACUUGAGCUAAUACCGGAUUUGCCCUUCGGGGGAAAGAUUUAUCGCCAUUGGAGUGGCCCGCGUCGGAUUAGCUAGUUGGUGAGGUAAAGGCUCACCAAGGCGACGAUCAGUAGCUGGUCUGAGAGGAUGAUCAGCCACAUUGGGACUGAGACACGGCCCAAACUCCUACGGGAGGCAGCAGUGGGGAAUCUUGCGCAAUGGGCGAAAGCCUGACGCAGCCAUGCCGCGUGAAUGAUGAAGGUCUUAGGAUUGUAAAAUUCUUUCACCGGGGACGAUAAUGACGGUACCCGGAGAAGAAGCCCCGGCUAACUUCGUGCCAGCAGCCGCCGUAAAAC